CCAUCUCCUUCCCCAUUCAGCUAAAGAGCACGCUGAAUACAGCAAGGGGGAGAGGAGAGCUCCAAACCCUCACAACCCUUUAAUCCACCAUAACUUUCUUGUUUGAGCUCCGAUUGUCACACCAUUCGCGACCACGCGUCCAACGCUUCAAGCUCUACGUUUCCAUCGGAUCAAUUUCAUGGGUUCGUUUUAGCUUGCGAAGCUUAUCGGGUUUGAGUUGCUCUGCGCGUGGGUAAGGUGGUGUGUUGUAAUUGGAACUUGGCACUGUGGACGUUUGGAGGCUUGGUGGAUGAUUGGUGCUAAGAUUUUGGUUGAUUUCUCAAGCUAGAGGGGCUGUGUGUGUGACUAGUGUGGCUGCCUUAGAUCAAACGUGAUGAUCGGCCAAGUUGCUUGUCUCUACUGAAUCAUGGAUGAUGGAGGAGCGGAAGAAGGGUGGAUUGGUUAGGUGUUAAUGAUAUGAUUAAAAUGCAGGUCGAGAGGCUCCUCGCUAAGCGUCUGGAUUCCUGAAGCGGAGUAGUCCCUGGGUUAUUUGGGAUUUUCAGUUUGUAUAUGUAUGUAUAUAUGUACUAGCUUGCUCUCCAAGAAACUUAAUUAUUUUGUUCCUCAUAGAGGUUGAGGGAGAAUUAGGAUCUGAUUUCUGUAUUUUGAGUAUUUACCCGUUUUUCAAGACUCCUAGUAUAUUAUGUUUUUUCACUAUUAUAAGUAAAUAUUUUAUGAUUA